AAUGAACGCUGGCGGCAGGCCUAACACAUGCAAGUAGAGCGAGAGGCGGACGGGUGAGUAAUGUAUGGGGACUGCCCGAUAGAGGGGGAUAACUACUGGAAACGGUAGCUAAUACCGCAUACUAUCGGAAAACCCAUAUGGGAUUAGCUAGUAGGUGAGGUAAUGGCUCACCUAGGCGACGAUCCCUAGCUGGUCUGAGAGGAUGAUCAGGCCCACGGGGACGGAGACCCGGCCCAGACUCCUACGGAGGCAGCAGUGGGGAAGAUUGCACAAUGGGCGCAGGCCUGAUGCAGCCAUGUCGCGUGUAUGAAGAAGGCCCUAGGGUUGUAAAGUACUUUCAGUCGGGAGGCGUUACCGACAGAAGAAGCACCGGCUAACUCCGUGCCAGCAGCCGCGGUAAUUC
rnacentral:rRNA from 1 species